AGCCAAAGUCAGACACUCAAUUGAAUGAGCACCCGCCCCCCAUUAACAAGGUGCUCUGAGAAGGAAUCAGGCAACUCAAGGCAGCGAGUUCCCUGUCCGCAGAGGUAUUCAAGCAAACAGAGGCAACCCAGGAAUGGAGAGCAGUAGGAUUGGACGAGAUGUCCUCUAAUAUUCUACCCAGCCGGAGAUUCUGCGACUGUUGGUGGCACCAACGGAUAUCACUCAUUUCAAAGGGUGGUUUUUCUAUCAUUUUAAUUGUAUUGUAUUUGUAAGUCGGCUCCACGCGGGGUGUGGCCCCAGUGCGGGACUUGAACUCACCACUCUGAGAGGGAGACCUGAGCUGAGAUCAAGAGCUGGAAGCUUGACUGACUGAGCCACCCGGGCGCGCCCUGCCGCCCCCCCCACCCCCGCAAAAGGUGAUUUUUCAUGAAAAUGACACGCAGGAUCAGUAAGACUGCUUAUUCUAGACAUGGAGAGGAGCUGGGGAGGAGGCUUGUUUCCCAGGCAGCAUCACAAAGAAACGGGAAUUUUUUUUGCAUUUCGUAAGAAAUCAUGGAGACACAUUGGCCAGAACAUUGGGCACCAAAAUAAAACAAAA